UCCCUCACAAAAAGUGCCUCUCAUGGCCGUUAAUCACACUUCUUUGUCCGUUUUCCACCUCCUUCUCCCUCUCUGUCUCUGUCUCUCUCUCUCUUUCUCCAUGGAUGAGCUGAAAGCUAGAAGGGAAUCAAUUCACUGCGAGUUGUUCCAGCUUGAUCCCUCCGUUAUCAUCAUCAUGUGUAUUUGUUCGGUUGGAUGGUUCGGUUUUCAGCUCCGAGCUCGGAGCUCUUGUCAAGCUAGUUCCAAUUUGAUCGUCAUGCUUGGAAGUUCAUUUGACUUCGCAUUUCGAUGCAUGAAUUCGUUAUUUGUGUCCUGGACUAGGAUGAUUUUUGUUCGAGAAUAGCUCGAUUUGGAGGUGGCUGAGCUAAUUUGCUCGUCGGUGGUCUCCAUAGCCGAUUAUGUCGCAAUCAGUGUUCAACUGACAACUGAAUUUGAUUAUGAAGGAAUGGUUAGAGGUUUUCUCAGAUGCUCGCUUUUGGAUAAUGGGGACUCCCUUCAGACAAUAGCACUCCCUCAUGGGGGAAAGAUGGAGUCAGGUGUAUUGAUUUCUUGUGGGUGGUUAUUCGGGAACACCGGGCUGGGUUUAUUGAAUGCAUAAAACAAGUUAAUUUAGUUAUCUAUUUGGCCAGCCCUUGCCGUGAGGAUGUUCAACUUAGUACACUUUACCUUAAGGCACCAGGAAAUCAUCAUCAUCAUUAUUAUUUUGGGUUCCUUGUGCGAUCAGAAGUGAAUUUUCGGGGAUAAUUACUUUUAUGGCCUAACUCUGGUCAAAUAGCAUACGUGCGCGAUUGAGAUCAGGAUGUUGGACGUCACUGCUGAUGAAGUUGAGCUCAUCUUGUGUGUUUCUCUUCCAUCUUUGCAUUUUGUGCAUGGCAAUUGGAAUAGCUUGACAAGCAUUGGAUAUUAGGAUAAGUCAUAUCCAAGUCUAAAUGCACAGUUGGCUUUCUGGUUCAAUUUGCUUUGACUAGGAAGUGGAUUUCAGCAUCUCUGCUAUCAAGAGCUUGUAAAACGUCAUUUUGUACUUUGACAGGCUUGACAUUAUAAUCUUGAAUGCAAAGUAAAUCUGCUUGCUAACGUACAGGUGGGAUAUAUGUGUUCCCUAGUACAUAAUGUUUGACCGUGGUUACAAAUCCGAGUACAUGGAUGGCCAGCGAGAGAAGUUUAGGAGAUGGUUGAAGCUGCACCUUGGGGUUGUCGGGUUUUUGGAAGUGCUGGGGGUUCUCUGUUUUGGUUUGCAGAUGGUUGAAGCUAUGGUUCUCGGGUUGUUGUUGUGCUGAUUCUUCUUCUUCUUCUGACGAAGGGAGUGGGGAAGAUUUGCAAGAUAGCAGGGGCAUCGUUAUCUCUGCUUUGUCUCUGUUCUCUCUGCUUGUAGCUCAGCACAUACAGAGGCAAAGUGCUUCUUGUGAUCAAUAUCGCUUCCAAAUGGGCUGUAGGAGUUCUCGGGUUAUUUUGUGGGGGUUCUCGGGUUUUCUGUAAGGCAAGCAACUAUGGUAUUCUGCAGAUGGAAUCAAAGUUCUAUAUGGGCGUUCUCGGGUUAUUCUGUAGAUGGGAUCAAGCUAAGGAUGUUCUAUUUUGACGGGGGAUUCUUGGGUAUUUGGCUUUUUUGGGGUGAAAUUGCUGGGGGUUCUCUUCAUGUUUUUUUUUUUUUUUUUUUUCUGUUUUUGCAUUCUUAUGUUCUCAAAGUUGUAGGGUUUUCUGUUCAAAACAGGGAAAGGGAAAGGGAAAGGGAGGAAGGCUGGACAAUGAGGUUCACAGACUCACAGUGAGAUUAACGGCCAUGAGAGGCACUUUCCAUCAGGGACCUGCCAUUUAUUCGAAUGGAAGGACCAAUUGAUUCUAAUAUUUGAAACGUCCAAACUAAUUAAUACACAUAAUAUAUUUUAGGGACCAAUUUACCAUAA